AUCUGUCCAUUCCCCUGGCUGUGCCUCUUAACCCUGUCCCCUAAUAUCAUUCCCACAUACCAUUACACAUUCAUUCCUGAACCAAGAGACUCUCCUUACAGUCAUUCAUGUUUGGUUUCCUUGUGAAUGGAACACUUCAAUGUGCUCUACAUGGGAUGGUCCAUCAAGAUCACUCAGAAGCUGCAACUGAUCCAGAAUACAGAGGAGAGCCACUGCUGGAACUUGGACAGUAGCUUGCUGAUCAUGGCCAGGUACUAUGGACCCUCCCCAGGGAUGUAGCUGAGCAUCAGACAACUGGUUAUCAGAGUUGCUGCAAUCAAUUAGGGAUUAAAUUAUGAGCAAGAAGCUACAUUUGUUGUACCUGUAGAUCUACCAAACCAGAAAUAUUAAAGUGCAUUCAUUCAAAUGUUGAUACCCAACAACAUCCCAAGGAUUAUGACCAUGGCUAGAUCACAACUGAUGCUAAUGCAGAAUGCUAGCUGGAACCAGGAGAGAAAGGCCUUUCAUCAAAGGAGCAGACACCACUGCCAUAUCGAGGACCAGAAAAACCUCCAGUGCUACUUGAUGUUCCUCUUUAUUCAGAGACUCAAGCGCAUUGAAGCAAAUACAAGUUUGCCACUUUUAUUGUUCACACUCUCACUAAAAGUUCUACUUAUUCAUGCAUACAUGAAUACCAACAUACCUCAGUGUCUAACUGGCCAGGCUAGGCUUGAGUUUCAGAAGAAUCACUCACCAUGACUCAUUCUAUAUGAUGGCUCCAUAGGAUUAUACUUUCCAUACAUUUUAAUCUUCCAACUUGGUUUGACCACUCUAUCAAACUUGGUGGCUCCCACUUUCACAUGUUUCUCCUGGUAUUUUUCCACCAGAGUGCUACUGCCUCACCCAGUUUAUAUAGGAACUCUAUGGUUUGGGGAACUCUCUCAUCAUGUCUUCUUCAGAGUCAUGUCUUCUCUACUUGCUGUGUCUGUGAAUUAUAAGUGGCAAUUUUAUAAUAAUAUAUGCUUAAAAUCUGCCAAAUCAUGGAAAUUUCCACUGGACAGUAUAGUGAUAAUAAUAUUGCUGUAUUUACUAUGUAUGCACUUAAGAUACAUUCUUUGGAAAAUUUCUUUCACAAAAAUUAAGUGUUUGGAUUUCACUUCAAAUCAUAAACUCUUGAACUUCUUCCGCUUCAAAAAUAAAUAAAACCCAACCAAGGCAACACAUAAGAUGACUAAUAAACUUUAAGAGCUUUUUAUUUCCUAUAACAAUAUUUGCACCCAUAUUAUAAAUAAGGAAGGGUGUAUUCCUUGUAACAAUCUUAUCAGUUAUUCAGAAAUAAGUAACAGUUGGUAAGGUUUGAAAUGCCAUAACGACAUAGUAAUGCAAUUGAAAUAUCUCUUCUGGAUUAUCUAAAAUAAUUGCCCCUACUAAAAGUCUAAUAAAUAAAACUUGAACUCAGAAACUAGGACUCAGGGAUGGAUAUAUAUUUCAUUCAACUGAAAGUGUUCAGGUCAAAGUUGUAUUUUCUUAUUGCUGAAUUAAAUCAAGUCAAAGGUGAAGAAUACAAGGGUGAUGAAAUAUAAUCUUUUGAUAGUGUCCCAAAAUGACUCUAGGGAGAAAAAAAAAAAUCAGAUAAUUGAGGAAUGUGAGUGUGAGAAAAAUUAUUGUACAUUUGUUGAUUUAGAGAAAGUGUAUGAUAAAGUGAAUAAGGUUGAAUUAUGGAACAUUUUGUGUAAAUAUAGAGUUGAAGGUAGGUUGCUGAAUGUGUUAGCAGCAGUAUGUGAUGGAAGUAGAUCAAGCAUGAGAAUAAAUGGAAUGCUUAAUGAACAUUGAGCAAAAAGUAAAACAAGACUGUAUGAUGUUCUCUUUGGCUAUUUAAUGUAUUUAUCAAUAAAUAUAUAAGGAAUGCUUGUGGUGGUCGCAGAUAUGGUUUGUCUGGGUUCAUAUUUAGGACCCUCUUAAC